rnacentral:rRNA from 1 species
UACAGAGGGCUCAAGCGUUGUUCGGAUUCAUUGGGCGUAAAGGGUGCGUAGGUGGCAUGGUCAGUCGGAUGUGAAAUCCCGGGGCUCAACCUCGGAACUGCAUUCGAUACUGCCGCGCUAGAGUACUGGAGAGGAGAUUGGAAUUUACGGUGUAGCAGUGAAAUGCGUAGAUAUCGUAAGGAAGACCAGUGGCGAAGGCGGAUCUCUGGACAGUUACUGACACUGAGGCACGAAGGCCAGGGGAGCAAACGGG